GACGAACGCUGGCGGCGUGCUUAACACAUGCAAGUCGAACGGAAAGGCCCUGCUUUUGUGGGGGGCUCGAGUGGCGAACGGGUGAGUAACAAGUGAGUAACCUGCCCUUGACUUUGGGAUAACUUCAGGAAACUGGGGCUAAUACCGGAUAGGAGCUCCUGCUGCAUGGUGGGGGUUGGAAAGUUUCGGCGGUUGGGGAUGGACUCGCGGCUUAUCAGCUUGUUGGUGGGGUAGUGGCUUACCAAGGCUUUGACGGGUAGCCGGCCUGAGAGGGUGACCGGCCACAUUGGGACUGAGAUACGGCCCAGACUCCUACGGGAGGCAGCAGUGGGGAAUAUUGCACAAUGGGCGGAAGCCUGAUGCAGCAACGCCGCGUGCGGGAUGACGGCCUUCGGGUUGUAAACCGCUUUCGCCUGUGACGAAGCGUGAGUGACGGUAAUGGGUAAAGAAGCACCGGCUAACUACGUG
rnacentral:rRNA from 1 species